rnacentral:rRNA from 1 species
GACGAACGCUGGCGGCGUGCUUAACACAUGCAGGUCGAGCGGAAAGGCCUGCUUUCCCUUGUGGAUUGCGGGUGCUCGAGUGGCGAACGGGUGAGUAACACGUGAGUGAUCUGCCCCCAACUUGGGUAUAAGCCUGGGAAACUGGGUCUAAUUCCCGAUAGGACUGCAGGGUGGUGCCUGUGGUGGAAAACGAUUUUCUAGUGGUUGGGGAUGAGCUCGCGGCCUAUCAGCUUGUUGGUGGGGUAAUGGCCUACCAAGGCGGCGACGGGUAGCCGGCCUGAGAGGGUGGACGGCCACAUUGGGACUGAGAUACGGCCCAGACUCCUACGGGAGGCAGCAGUGGGGAAUAUUGCACAAUGGGCGGAAGCCUGAUGCAGCGACGCCGCGUGGGGGAUGACGGCCUUCGGGUUGUAAACUCCUUUCGACCGCGAGGAAGCCACCUGGUUGGAAGGGUGGUGACGGUAGUGGUAGAAGAAGCACCGGCUAACUACGUG